GGGGGUGUAGCUCAAUCAGGUAGAGCACCGUUCUUAUAAAGCGAAGGUUGAGGGUUCAAAUCCCUCCAUCCCUA
rnacentral:tRNA from 1 species